AAAGGUGAGCCAGUACAGGAUGGACCCGCGUCUGAUUAGCUAGUUGGUAAGGUAACGGCUUACCAAGGCGACGAUCAGUAGCCGACCUGAGAGGGUGAUCGGCCACAUUGGAACUGAGACACGGUCCAAACUCCUACGGGAGGCAGCAGUGGGGAAUAUUGCACAAUGGGCGAAAGCCUGAUGCAGCAACGCCGCGUGAGUGAUGAAGGCCUUCGGGUCGUAAAACUCUGUCCUCAAGGAAGAUAAUGACGGUACUUGAGGAGGAAGCCCCGGCUAACUACGUGCCAGCAGCCGCGGUAAUACGUAGGGGGCUAGCGUUAUCCGGAUUUACUGGGCGUAAAGGGUGCGUAGGCGGUCUUUCAAGUCAGGAGUGAAAGGCUACGGCUCAACCGUAGUAAGCUCUUGAAACUGGGAGACUUGAGUGCAGGAGAGGAGAGUGGAAUUCCUAGUGUAGCGGUGAAAUGCGUAGAUAUUAGGAGGAACACCAGUUGCGAAGGCGGCUCUCUGGACUGUAACUGACGCUGAGGCACGAAAGCGUGGGGAGCAAACAGGAUUAGAUACCCUGGUAGUCCACGCUGUAAACGAUGAGUACUAGGUGUCGGGGGUUACCCCCUUCG
rnacentral:rRNA from 1 species